rnacentral:rRNA from 1 species
GAUGAGCGCUGGCGGCGUGCCUAAUACAUGCAAGUCGAGCGAACGGACGAGAAGCUUGCUUCUCUGAUGUUAGCGGCGGACGGGUGAGUAACACGUGGAUAACCUACCUAUAAGACUGGGAUAACUUCGGGAAACCGGAGCUAAUACCGGAUGAUAUUUUGAACCGCAUGGUUCAAAAGUGAAAGACGGUCUUGCUGUCACUUAUAGAUGGAUCCGCGCUGCAUUAGCUAGUUGGUAAGGUAACGGCUUACCAAGGCAACGAUGCAUAGCCGACCUGAGAGGGUGAUCGGCCACACUGGAACUGAGACACGGUCCAGACUCCUACGGGAGGCAGCAGUAGGGAAUCUUCCGCAAUGGGCGAAAGCCUGACGGAGCAACGCCGCGUGAGUGAUGAAGGUCUUCGGAUCGUAAAACUCUGUUAUUAGGGAAGAACAUAUGUGUAAGUAACUGUGCACAUCUUGUCGGUACCUAAUCAGAAAGCCACGGCUAACUACGUG